rnacentral:rRNA from 1 species
GACGAACGCUGGCGGCGUGCUUAACACAUGCAAGUCGAACGGAAAGGCCCUGCUUGCAGGGUGCUCGAGUGGCGAACGGGUGAGUAACACGUGGGUGAUCUGCCCCUUACUUUGGGAUAAGCCUGGGAAACUGGGUCUAAUACUGGAUAGGACCAUGCUGUAGGUGGUGUGGUGGAAAGAUUAGUUUCGGUAAGGGAUGAGCUCGCGGCCUAUCAGCUUGUUGGUGGGGUAAUGGCCUACCAAGGCGUCGACGGGUAGCCGGCCUGAGAGGGCGGACGGCCACAUUGGGACUGAGAUACGGCCCAGACUCCUACGGGAGGCAGCAGUGGGGAAUAUUGCACAAUGGGCGCAAGCCUGAUGCAGCGACGCCGCGUGGGGGAUGACGGCCUUCGGGUUGUAAACUCCUUUCAGCCAUGACGAAGCCCUUGUGGUGACGGUAGUGGUAGAAGAAGCACCGGCUAACUACGUG